UACGAAGGGGGCUAGCGUUGCUCGGAAUCACUGGGCGUAAAGGGUGCGUAGGCGGGUCUUUAAGUCAGGGGUGAAAUCCUGGAGCUCAACUCCAGAACUGCCCUUGAUACUGAAGAUCUUGAGUUCGGGAGAGGUGAGUGGAACUCCGAGUGUAGAGGUGAAAUUCGUAGAUAUUCGGAAGAACACCAGUGGCGAAGGCGACACACUGGCCCGUUACUGACGCUGAGGCGCGAAAGCGUGGGGAGCAAACAGG
rnacentral:rRNA from 1 species